rnacentral:rRNA from 1 species
GACGAACGCUGGCGGCGUGCCUAAUACAUGCAAGUUGAGCGCUGAAGGUUGGUACUUGUACCAACUGGAUGAGCAGCGAACGGGUGAGUAACGCGUGGGGAAUCUGCCUUUGAGCGGGGGACAACAUUUGGAAACGAAUGCUAAUACCGCAUAAAAACUUUAAACACAAGUUUUAAGUUUGAAAGAUGCAAUUGCAUCACUCAAAGAUGAUCCCGCGUUGUAUUAGCUAGUUGGUGAGGUAAAGGCUCACCAAGGCGAUGAUACAUAGCCGACCUGAGAGGGUGGUCGGCCACAUUGGGACUGAGACACGGCCCAAACUCCUACGGGAGGCAGCAGUAGGGAAUCUUCGGCAAUGGAGGAAAGUCUGACCGAGCAACGCCGCGUGAGUGAAGAAGGUUUUCGGAUCGUAAAACUCUGUUGGUAGGGAAGAACGUUGGUGAGAGUGGAAAGCUCAUCAAGUGACGGUAACUACCCAGAAAGGGACGGCUAACUACGUG